rnacentral:lncRNA from 1 species
AUUUAUUCUCUGUGCACGUAUCAAUAUUUUCUAAAUAUGUAUUAUUGAGCUGAGCGUGGAAAAGCUCUGCAAGUUUCUUUCUUUUGUACAUCAUUCCUUUUGAAACCAGAACCGAAGCUUUUCCACUUUGCUGAGCCCAGUGCAGCAGGCACUGCUUCAGUGCAGCCUCACUUGAGCCUUUCCUCCUCUUUUAACCUGAGUAGAAGAGGAGGACAUGAGAUUUAUUGCAUAGAGCAAAGCCUCUUUUAUACCUCUGGCCAAGGAGCCUGUUGUCGUCGUGCUGGAUUUAUAGUUAAGCUGAUGUUUAAUCCCUGAAGAAUUUAGUCUGUUUGCUGUGAAGUCUGAGCUAAUAGAGAGCAAGUCCUGUGUGUAAUGCAUUUUUUAAACUUACUUUUUUAUUCUUUAUGGAGAAAUAUUUCUGGAAAAUGUUGGCGGUAGAAAUGAAAAGAAUUAGAUUUUUUUCUUCUCCUUUAUCAGAGGCAAUUAGCUACUUAAUUACUGAACAUUGCUUUUAACAGUGGCUGCGAUGAGCUACAAGUUUCCAUUUUCUCAGACUCAGCCAUCAAAGACUUUCAGAAGAUGCUUUUUAUUGGGAAAAGAUUCCUGCAGUGGGCAAAUACUUUGCAGUCUGCAGAUUCAAGGGUCAUGCAUAUCUAAAAGUAUUGAGGGCACACUGAAAAACUAAGUGUUUAAAUGGCACAGUGAGGCAAGCCCUGGCAUCCACUUGCAUCUAGAACUGCACAGACAAGCUGUUCAUUUUAAGUGCUGUUGUUUGGAGGUUGGUCCCAUCUGCCUCCAACUCAGCUGAGCCCUCCCUUCCCUGAAGGACCCCUAAUGAGGUAAAAUACCUGAGCACCACAAGGCAACUGAAGGAACAGCAAUAAUGCACAAGAAAUUUGUAUCUCACAUGUUGACUAUUUACCCUUGGAAGCAAGCUGUGGUUGUUUCUCAUUUAUUCAUUCUCUCCCUACAGGCAGAAGGAACCAUCCCCAGGUCAGCUUCCUGUACUUCCAAUGACAUUUAUAGAAGUGAACAGAGAAAAUGCAGCUGCCUGAUGCCCUGGGCCCUGCCAGCAUCCAGAUGUGGGCACCAUCAGAAGGAAAGCAGCCCCUCAGCCCAAUGAUGCCCAGGACCACCCCAGGGCUGCGGCAUUGCACACCCAGCGCAUGGCUCAGCACAGCUCCUGUUGGGUUCUGACUCAGCGUGUGCAAGGCAAAUAAGAUGGGGGGAAUUUGAAUGACUUUUUUCAUCAAUCAGACUUUGGAUGGGAACAGCUCCCUUUCUUUCCAUUUGUAAUCCGUGAGAGGAAACGCUGAGGAAAUCCACGUGUUUCUGUUCCAGCCCUGAAGUGAGACACUCACAAGGACCAACUUUGCAGGAAGGUGGUGAGGAACUGAAUAGCUGUGGGCAGCAGGUGUGGUGCUUUAUCUGUAUGUACAAAGCUGACAUAGAGCGAGCAGCAGCCUGGCAACUCAGCAGAGCCUGCUAGGGUGGAGCCCAGAUCUGUGAUGCUUAAUGAAUUCUUCGUGCUUAAUGAAUCACAGCGUGCCCGUGGUGUGCUACUCGGUGGUUGGAGUGAGGGGAAGGCUGAAGGAAACUUCCCAUAGGGGUGGGAGGAAUGGCAGCAGUGCAGCAGAUGGAGUGCUCUGCUGACAUGCAAAGCAGCGCGCAUUAAAAGGAGUAAUGUGAAGUGUAACUCACUGGUGAGCUCUAAAUUAGCUGUAGUAAUGACAAAGACAUGGGCAUCACUGUGGAGAGUUAAUAAAAGUAUCUGCUGAGUAGGCA